AACGAACGCUGGCGGCAUGCCUAACACAUGCAAGUCGAACGAGACCUUCGGGUCUAGUGGCGCACGGGUGCGUAACGCGUUGGAACCUGCCUUUAGGUUCGGAAUAACUCAGAGAAAUUUGAGCUAAUACCGGAUGAUGUCUUCGGACCAAAGAUUUAUCGCCUUUAGAUGGGCCCGCGUUGGAUUAGCUAGUUGGUGGGGUAAAGGCCUACCAAGGCGACGAUCCAUAGCUGGUCUGAGAGGAUGAUCAGCCACACUGGGACUGAGACACGGCCCAGACUCCUACGGGAGGCAGCAGUGGGGAAUAUUGGACAAUGGGCGAAAGCCUGAUCCAGCAAUGCCGCGUGAGUGAUGAAGGCCUUAGGGUUGUAAAGCUCUUUUACCCGAGAUGAUAAUGACAGUAUCGGGAGAAUAAGCUCCGGCUAACUCCGUG
rnacentral:rRNA from 1 species